CAUCCUGGCUCAGCCAUCGAUGUUCUAUCCUCAAUCAACCAUCUGACCUAUGCCCAAAUAGUAGGUCCACGAGCACAGAUUUUCUUCUAGAGGAAGGAGCAAUCACAGGGUGCUUGGAUUUGAGACCCCUGACUCCACACCACAUACCGGAUCCUCAUCAUCCUGCUCUAGAUGCAAUCCAACUGAAUAAGAAAUCUAAAAGUAUGUCAGGCAAUUAUGGCCUCCUUUCUGACCAACAGGAAUUGAAUUUUCAGACCACCAUCUCUCAU
rnacentral:lncRNA from 1 species